AUGCACACUCUGAGCUCAGGAAGCGCAACACGCACACUGCGUCGGUGCGCAGCAGAGGAAACUCAGGACCUGCACAGUCGUCAGCCGCCUUCCUGCGCUCGCCAGGCUCGGGCCGCUCCGAGCGCCGCCGCCACCGGGACGAUGCCCCAGCGCACGCAGCAUCCGCUGGUCCACGUCCUGCUCUUCUGGAUCACCAUCCUCACCGUGGUCCAGGUGGUCUUCGUCGCCCUCUUCUUCACAAACGGACACACGUCUCAGAACACUAAAGCUGUACAAGCAGAUCUCAAUAAGCAAACCCAGGCAAACAAUGCAUCUUCGUUAUCUGAUCAUGGAACGGUCUUAGGACAAAUGCUGUCCUUCAGAGCCAAACCAGGCACAGCUGUCAGAAAUAUCACGUGGAUUUCGACGAAUGGACCCCAAGAUCUGGUUUUACCGCAAAAGAAUGUCCUGACGUUACAGGCGGACGGAUAUUACUUCCUGAAUCUUCAGGUGACUGUGUACUCGUUCAAUCCGCGCGCGCCGCUCACGGUCCGCCUGUUGCGCAACGGACGCAAGGUCCUCCUGGAGGGUCCGAUUAACCCGCACACAAACAGCACGGGCCUCCUGGGCAAGGCAGAGGAGCUGACGGCCCAAACGGAACUGUCGGUCUCCAUCGACCCGCAGGCGGUGAACGUCAAUGACAGUGCAUCCGUCACCCACCUGGACAUCGUCUACAUGCACAAACCCAGGAACAACCAGUCUUGAGCCUCGUGGAGGUCCAGGACAUCGGUCCGGCCCCCCCGGACCCCUGUUGUUUUGGUUCUCUACCGAGCAGAGCGUUCUCUCCCUGCAGCCGAGGGACGGCGGCAUCGCUGCAGCUCACUUCCUCUGCCUUUGUGUUUAAUGGAAGAAAGCGUCUUCAUAGUCUUGUAGAAAAACCAUGAAUUAAGAAAAAAGCUGUUAUCAGGGAGUACAUUCAUCUCCAGCCUGUGAAGCUAGUAUUCAGACCAAACUACAUCUAAAAUGAGCAGUAGCGAAUCCUCAACAACCAAAUCAAACUUUCUAAAAUCCACGUCUCACCCUCUGUGUUUGUCGUCUGUGGUUCAUAUAUUUAUGCUUUAUUUAUUGUUGGGACCUAAAUUAACGUGCACACAGCAUCUCAUGAGCUAAUUGCAAAUAAAGAUGGACCCAUGGGCCCUAAUGUUAGCGGU
rnacentral:lncRNA from 1 species